UCAAAUUUGGAGGCAUAGUAAUUACAUUCUUGUUCAGAUAGCCAUGGGGGCAACAGUAUAGGAGAAUCAAUUGGAUGUCCAAAACCUUUACCCUUAGGUAGAUAAAGUGGACCAGGGUUGCGGUAAGUCAGAAAUUCCUUGAGCACUCUUUGAGUUCCAAUCUCAGCAAACUCUGCUUCUAUAUCACCAGGCUCCUGUAAUAUUGCAGUUGACAGAAAUAACCACUUAGAAAGUGCAGUAUAUGUUUGAAAAGUAAUUAUUGAAUUACUAAUAAAAUUGGAACAAACCUGAAAUCUUGAGAUAUAGUAGUCAUUACCAUAAACUGCUCUAAGGGUAUCAAGAGGCUUUCUUUUGGGGUUUCUAGGAGUAAAAGCAACACUCAAGUUAACAAGAGCCUUGAUUCUUUCAGGGCGAUAAAGGGAAAGAUACCAAGCAGUAAGGGCACCCCAAUCAUGUCCCACAACAAACACCUUCUCUUGAUCACCAGCAAUGGCAUCAAGAAGUCCGAUGAUAUCACCGACGACAUGGAGGCU
rnacentral:lncRNA from 1 species